CACUCCCCUCCCCCCGGUGGUAGCCUGCCCAGCGAGGUCCAUCUGGGGAAAGCCGGUGAGAGUCCGGCACUGACCCGCAACCGUGAGGCGCAUGCGCCGCAGUCGGACUGCCCACUGGCCCUCGGCUCAC
rnacentral:ncRNA from 2 species